UACGAAGGGGGCGAGCGUUGUUCGGAUUUACUGGGCGUAAAGGGCGCGCAGGCGGCUCAUCUUGUCAGGCGUGAAAGCCCCGGGCUUAACCUGGGAGGUGCGUUUGAUACGGAUGGGCUAGAGUUCGGGAGAGGAGCGUGGAAUUCCCAGUGUAGAGGUGAAAUUCGUAGAUAUUGGGAAGAACACCAAAGGCGAAGGCAGUGUCCUGGGUGGUCGCUGACGCUGAGAGGCGAAAGCCAGGGGAGCGAACGGG
rnacentral:rRNA from 1 species